rfam:Triticum aestivum genome assembly, contig: Triticum_aestivum_CS42_TGACv1_scaffold_515950_6BS
GUCCUGAUGCCAUUUCGCUGGUAGCUACAGCUUUGACUGGAGAUAUUACAUUGUGCCAAGAGAGUGAUCUUGACGUCUCAAAUUUGAUAGGAAUCUGUGGACAUGAUUUAGUAGGUACGCAGAGCCAUAUUUUGUGAUUACACUU